rnacentral:rRNA from 1 species
UGGCCUACGGGCGGCAGCAGUGGGGAAUAUUGCGCAAUGGGGGAAACCCUGACGCAGCGACGCCGUGUGAGGGAAGAAGGCCUUCGGGUCGUAAACCUCUGUCAGAAGGGAAGAACCGCCUGGAGUCGAAUAGGCUUUGGGCCUGACGGUACCUUCAGAGGAAGCGCCGGCUAACUCCGUGCCAGCAGCCGCGGUAAUACGGAGGGCGCAAGCGUUAAUCGGAAUCACUGGGCGUAAAGCGCGCGUAGGCUGUUUGAUAAGUCAGGCGUGAAAUCCCUCGGCUCAACCGGGGAACUGCGCUUGAUACUGUUAGACUUGAGUCCCGGAGAGGGUGGCGGAAUUCCAGGUGUAGGAGUGAAAUCCGUAGAUAUCUGGAGGAACACCGGUGGCGAAGGCGGCCACCUGGACGGGUACUGACGCUGAGGCGCGAAAGCGUGGGGAGCAAACAGGAUUAGAUACCCCAGUAGUC